rnacentral:lncRNA from 1 species
CAUCAAUGUUUAUUUCCAUUUUUUGUUUCAGGUGUUUGCAUCAUAACUUGAUCAAGAACAUGUUGUUCCUGAUAUAUGGUACAAGACUCAAAAUAUCAGGUAAAUCAUCAUUGUAAUACAGGAUUGUUUCACCUCUAAGCAGCAGAUCUCAUGGACAGCCCCCAAGCAGGUUCAUGUCAGUAUCUCAGGCGUCAUGGUCACAGCUACUGGUCCAGCUUUAAUACCUCCACUCGGUUUUUUCCAUCAAGCUGUUGUGUGAAGAUUUGUUUCAUGAAAUCAAGGUAACUUAUUGAUCUGUACUUCACUUUACCAUCUUUCACAAACUCCGGCAGAGGGCUGAUCACCAUAUUUUCACUUGGAUAGUGGAAGAGUGCUGCUGAAAUUCGCUCUUUAUUUGGGUUUAUCACGGCCCUGUGUUCAACACUUCUGAACUUUCCGUUACUCAGGAUCUGUAUAUAUCAAUAGUAUAUCACUCAUAUGAGUACAAAGGUGCAAGAGAAGCAGGUCAUCCAACAACAAUGUUCAGAAGCGGAACACAAGUCGUGGACUCAAGAAUAUAAAUAAUUUGAACUUAGGUAUUUUGUUUGGUGCUUUGACAAGUUUUCUAGAUAAUAGGAGCUUUUAUUGAACUCAUCCAAAUACAUCAAGGUCCUUCGACAUGUGAAAGCAUAAUUUGUUAUUGGUCAUUACCUCAAGUGUGUCGCCAAUGUUAGCAAUAAGUGCACCAUUUGGAGCAUCUAUGGAGAACCACUUGCCAUCUUUCUUGAUCUGCAGGCCCUGCACAUUGUUAAUCUCGAGCAGCAGUGUCAGGCCACCCGCAUCAGAGUGUGGCGAAAGGCCCAUCACCUUGUCAGCUUGCCGGCAUGGUGGGUAAUAGGCCAUCCUUAAGCCUCGAGGCUGCUCUUCAAAUAAAUCUAAAAGUGACUCUGGCUUAGCGCCCACAGCCUUAGCCAUGAACUCAAACAAGCAGAGUGCCAGGCUUUUAGUCUCUGAUGAGUAUGCAUCAAUGGAUUGCCUAUUUCCAGACAUCUCCAGUUAAGAAGAGACAGAUGCCUAUCAAAAGCUAAAUUGCACAGUUUUUUUUUUUUUUUGGUAGAUCACCUGAAAGAUGCUGGAGAAGUGGGCCAGAACCUUAGGUCCCUUGAAUCGCUAGGAUGGACAUGAAGAUACAGCAUGUCUGCCCAGUCAAGUUUCUGGUCCUCAGAGAAAACAAAGCUCUGUCCAUAGCCU